CUUGCUUCUCUUGAGAGCGGCGGACGGGUGAGUAAUGCCUAGGAAUCUGCCUGGUAGUGGGGGAUAACGUCCGGAAACGGACGCUAAUACCGCAUACGUCCUACGGGAGAAAGCAGGGGACCUUCGGGCCUUGCGCUAUCAGAUGAGCCUAGGUCGGAUUAGCUAGUUGGUGGGGUAAUGGCUCACCAAGGCGACGAUCCGUAACUGGUCUGAGAGGAUGAUCAGUCACACUGGAACUGAGACACGGUCCAGACUCCUACGGGAGGCAGCAGUGGGGAAUAUUGGACAAUGGGCGAAAGCCUGAUCCAGCCAUGUCGCGUGUGUGAAGAAGGUCUUCGGAUUGUAAAGCACUUUAAGUUGGGAGGAAGGGCAGUAAAUUAAUACUUUGCUGUUUUGACGUUACCGACAGAAUAAGCACCGGCUAACUCUGUGCCAGCAGCCGCGGUAAUACAGAGGGUGCAAAGCGUUAAUCGGAAUUACUGGGCGUAAAGCGCGCGUAGGUGGUUCGUUAAGUUGGAUGUGAAAUCCCCGGGCUCAACCUGGGAAACUGCAUUCAAAACUGACGAGCUAGAGUAUGGUAGAGGGUGGUGGGAAUUUCCUGUGUAGCGGUGAAAUGCGUAGAUAUAGGAAGGGAACACCAGUGGCGAAUGCGACCACCUGGGACUGAUACUGAACACUGAAGUGCGA
rnacentral:rRNA from 1 species